AGCGAACGCUGGCGGCAUGCCUAACACAUGCAAGUCGAACGAGACCUUCGGGUCUAGUUGCGCACGUGUGCGUAACGCGUGGGAACCUGCCCUUAGGUUCGGAAUAACUCCCCGAAAGGGGUGCUAAUACCGGAUAAUGUCUUCGGACCAAAGAUUUAUCGCCUUUGGAUGGGCCCGCGUUGGAUUAGCUAGUUGGUAGGGUAAAAGCCUACCAAGGCGACGAUCCAUAGCUGGUCUGAGAGGAUGCUCCGCCACACUGGGACUGAGACACGGCCCAGACUCCUACGGGAGGGAGCAGUGGAGAAUAUUGGACAAUGGGCGAUAGCGUGACACAGCAAUGCCGCGUGAGUGAUGAAGGCCUUAGGGUUGUACAGCUCUUUUAGCCGCGAUGAUAAUGACAGUACCGGGAGAAUAAGCUCCGGCUAACUACGUG
rnacentral:rRNA from 1 species